ncrna:unclassified sequences Actino-pnp RNA
GAUGGUCCUCGGUAGUGGUUUCCGCGAACAGAUAUAAGUAUUUGUGCGCGUGAACUUCGAUCGAAGACUCUU